UACAGAGGGGGCAAGCGUUGCUCGGAAUUACUGGGCGUAAAGGGCGCGUAGGCGGCCUUCUAAGUCGAACGUGAAAUCCCCGGGCUCAACCCGGGAACUGCGUCCGAUACUGGGAGGCUUGAAUCCGGGAGAGGGAUGUGGAAUUCCAGGUGUAGCGGUGAAAUGCGUAGAUAUCGGAAGGAACAUCAGUGGCGAAAGCGACUUCCUGGACCAAUACUGACGCUCAUGUGCGAAAGCGUGGGGAGCAAACAGG
rnacentral:rRNA from 1 species